rnacentral:rRNA from 1 species
UACGUAGGGUGCGAGCGUUAAUCGGAAUUACUGGGCGUAAAGCGUGCGCGAGCGGUUCGCUAAGACAGAUGUGAAAUCCCCGGGCUUAACCUGGGAACUGCAUUUGUGACUGGCGGGCUAGAGUAUGGCAGAGGGGGGUAGAAUUCCACGUGUAGCAGUGAAAUGCGUAGAGAUGUGGAGGAAUACCGAUGGCGAAGGCAGCCCCCUGGGCCAAUACUGACGCUCAUGGCACGAAAGCGUGGGGAGCAAACAGG